GGGGCGUCCUAGCGUCGAGUGGUCGAGUACCAAGCUCAGGCGCCGGUCAUAGCGCAGACUGUAAAUCUGCCGGCUCAGCCUUCCCAGGUUCGAAUCCUGGCGCCGCCA
rnacentral:tRNA from 1 species